rnacentral:rRNA from 1 species
CGAACGGUAACAGCCCUUCGGGCGCUGACGAGUGGCGGACGGGUGAGUAACGCGUAGGAAUCUGCCUUAUAGUGGGGGACAACGUGGGGAAACCCACGCUAAUACCGCAUACGCCCUACGGGGGAAAGCGGGGGAUCGUAAGACCUCGCGCUAUGAGAUGAGCCUGCGUUAGAUUAGCUAGUUGGUAGGGUAAAGGCCUACCAAGGCGACGAUCUAUAGCUGGUCUGAGAGGACGAUCAGCCACACUGGGACUGAGUCACGGCCCAGACUCCUACGGGAGGCAGCAGUGGGGAAUAUUGGACAAUGGGCGCAAGCCUGAUCCAGCAAUACCGCGUGUGUGAAGAAGGCCCUAGGGUUGUAAAGCACUUUCAAUGGGGAGGAAAACCUGCCGGUCAAUACCCGGUAGCUUGACAUUACCUAUAGAAGAAGCACCGGCUAACUCCGUGCCAGCAGCCGCGGUAAUACGGAGGGUGCGAGCGUUAAUCGGAAUUACUGGGCGUAAAGCGUGCGUAGGCGGUUCGUUAAGUCAGAUGUGAAAGCCCUGGGCUCAACCUGGGAACUGCAUUUGAAACUGGCGGACUAGAGUUUAGUAGAGGGGAUUGGAAUUUCAGGUGUAGCGGUGAAAUGCGUAGAUAUCUGAAGGAACACCAGUGGCGAAGGCGACUCCCUGGACUAGAACUGACGCUGAGGUACGAAAGCGUGGGUAGCAAACAGGAUUAGAUACCCUGGUAGUCCACGCCGUAAACGAUGUCAACUAGCCGUUGGUCCUAUAUACAGGAUUAGUGGCGCAGCUAACGCAUUAAGUUGACCGCCUGGGGAGUACGGCCGCAAGGUUAAAACUCAAAUGAAUUGACGGGGGCCCGCACAAGCGGUGGAGCAUGUGGUUUAAUUCGAUACACGAAGAACCUUACCCAGGUUUGACAUACAGGUAGUAGUGAAGCGAAAGCGGAACGAUCCUUCGGGAAGCCUGAACAGGUGCUGCAUGGCUGUCGUCAGCUCGUGCCGUGAGGUGUUUGGUUAAGUCCACUAACGAGCGCAACCCCUGUCGUCAGUUACAUGUGUCUGGCGAGACUGCCGGUCUUAAACCGGAGGAAGGUGGGGAUGACGUCAAGUCAGCAUGGCCUUUAUAUCUGGGACUACACACACGCUACAAUGGCCGGUACAAUGGGUUGCCAACCCGCGAGGGGGAGCUAAUCCUAUAAAGCCGGUCUCAGUUCGGAUUGUAGGCUGCAACUCGCCUGCAUGAAGCCGGAGUUGCUAGUAAACGCGCGUCAGCUAUAGUGCGUUGAAUACGUUCCCGGGUC